rnacentral:rRNA from 1 species
UUGAACGCUGGCGGCAGGCCUAACACAUGCAAGUCGAGCGGAUGAAGGGAGCUUGCUCCUGGAUUCAGCGGCGGACGGGUGAGUAAUGCCUAGGAAUCUGCCUGGUAGUGGGGGAUAACGUCCGGAAACGGGCGCUAAUACCGCAUACGUCCUGAGGGAGAAAGUGGGGGAUCUUCGGACCUCACGCUAUCAGAUGAGCCUAGGUCGGAUUAGCUAGUUGGUGGGGUAAAGGCCUACCAAGGCGACGAUCCGUAACUGGUCUGAGAGGAUGAUCAGUCACACUGGAACUGAGACACGGUCCAGACUCCUACGGGAGGCAGCAGUGGGGAAUAGUGGACAAUGGGCGAAAGCCUGAUCCAGCCAUGCCGCGUGUGUGAAGAAGGUCUUCGGAUUUUAAAGCACUUUAAGUUGGGAGGAAGGGCAGUAAGUUAAUACCUUGCUGUUUUGACGUUACCAACAGAAUAAGCACCGGCUAACUUCGUG